UUUUCCCUGUUUUCUUUUCUCUAGAAUAACUAGACUUUGAAGUCCUUCAUCUCAGGCAGACACUUACUUGCUCUGCUCUUGAACACAAUGGGAAUUAUCAAGUGAGCAGAUUGAAGAGGGACCUCAUCAGAAGCUGAAAAAGAGUUUCCAAGAGGAGAAGGAUGGAGAGGUUGAGUCUGGAGGGCCAACUAUACUGAACUCAAGUACAUAUUGGGAAAAUUUUGAAGACUCUCACCUUCAUCACCUGCCAUUUAACCAUGAGGGAAAAGAAAAGGAAAGGAAAAAAGAAAUCAGAAUUCAUUCCGGAACAAAUAACUUCAGGCAAGAGGAAACAAAAGUUCAAAAAUCUUGCAGACCUCAGGUAACUAAUUGGUUUUUCAAGCUCAGUCUUGGCCAGGCAGCCUGACCCUCCUUAAUUAGGGGUAGCCUUUUUUCCUUCAUUGUCCUUGAUUGAAUCCAGCUGCCACUUAAUUGCCAGCUGUUCUCUGAUUCCCAGGUCAGGACCUUCUUAAGGCCAAGUCAGUGGCUCCUGGUGAGUGGUACAUGGCAUCCUAGGC
rnacentral:lncRNA from 1 species